ACAGGUGCAGGAAUAAGUAAUAUGGAUUUUUAUUUCACCCAAAUUACGCCGUGCCGUGUAAAAGCAUGAGAGGACCAAACAAACACGUAACAAAAGAGCGAGGAGUACCUUGAAUAAAUAACACACACUCAUGAUGAUAAACAUAUUGGACAAGACCCGUAAUCAUCUGCGCAAUUCACAAGGGCACGAAAGCCCAAAACACACAGCACAGGUUGAAGCACAUCCCACAAUGACAGUCUGCAGAUGUAAAGAACUUGUUGUGAACCUCCCAACCACCAGGAUAAUUACCAUAUCCCAGGGUAUUAUUCAGGAGCCAACACCGCAAUUUAGAUAGAAAAAGAUUCACCCAUGUUAUUGUUUAUCAUGCAGAUUUGUCAUGGCAUUGUAAUUUAUUGAGCCCAUUCUAAAUUACAGACAUGAUUUAUGCCGUGGGGAUCACAGUGUGCAAGUCUUCAAUUUAGACCACAAUUACUUUAAUUAGGUGUUAGUGAAGGGUUGGAACAAAAACCUGUAAACUCCUGUCCUGUGUAUAAAAAAACAACAACCCUGUGGCUGUCAUGACUAAAUUUGCCCUCCUACUGAACAAGUUUCUGAAUGUUGGAGGUUAAUCUCCUUGAGAUGUCCCUCAUUUGGGAAUGACUUAUUUUGUACAAUGGACUGUUUUAAGGACUCAAAAACCAAAAUAAUUUUAAUAUUAAAAAUUACAAGUGUU